rnacentral:ncRNA from 2 species
UCUUUAUCCAGAGAGGCGGAGGGACUGGCCCGAUGAAGCCCGGCAACCGUCACACAGCUUGUGACAAGGUGCCAAUUCCUGCAGGGCGGAAGCGUCCUGGGAGAUAAGGA